rnacentral:tRNA from 1 species
GGAGGAGUGGCCGAGUGGUUGAAGGCGGCGGUCUUGAAAACCGUUGAAUGAAAGUUCCGUGGGUUCGAAUCCUACCUCCUCCGCCA